UGUGAAGCAACAACCCACUCAAAGACGUCUCCUUUUGUGAUAGUAUGCUCACACACUCAAGAACUCACUGAACAAGCUGAUGAACACUCAACACUUAGAAGGGAAAGCAAAGAACAGAACACUUUAGAGCAAGAACAAGACAAGAGAUUGUUAACCCAGUUACACCCGUUAAAUAGGGUGUUAGUCUGGGCCGGGAACUGUCUCCCGGAAUCCACUAGAUCAAAGGUUACAAGAGAGUAUCAGACACCCCACAAGCCCCUUACAAAGCUUCUCUCGGAAUCACUCUCUACCCACUUCCCAAGAACAAAGAUACAAGUUUAUGCUGUGUAUUUUGUUCUAACUUCUUGUCUUACUUUAUCUCUAUGCAAUGUACCUAUUUAUAUGAAAAGACUUGAUAACCUAGUUGCUUCUGUGAUGCCGUUUUGAUCCCAUCACAAGCACGCUCCAUGUACGGAACCAGGCUGUCUACUCUCUCUUAUCUUCUUGUUCAGUACCCGACAAACAGCAGUUUGCUUUUGCUUUUAUGAGCUGCGGCAAACGGCUAGUCUUUGUGGUCCUGCAAAGAGAAACUCACGUGGUCUUGUCCAAGAUACAUUGAUACUUCUUCUUCACGUCUUCUUCUUCUUCUAUCUUCAUCAUGAUCUUCUUUGCUAAGACUCAACAAUUCUCCACCUAGCAAAGACAGAUCAAAGAUAGUCACAGACGUCACAGAACUAUAGAGAUAUUGAUAGUAAUCCGAUCCAGUUAACAGGAUUCCCUUCCCGGCGUCUGAGUUGAUUACUCAGACUUGACCCUCAGUAAGUCCAAUGCUGACUGGAACUUACUGACUGGCAAGAUCUUUGUGAAGAUAUCUGCUGGAUUGUGCAGCGUAGAAAUCUUCAGAACGUUCACAUGACCAUGAGCAAUGACUUGUCUGAUCUUGUGAAACUUGGUGUCUAUAUGUUUGGUUCGUUCAUGAUGAACAUUGUUCUUUGAUAACGCAAUGGCGCUUUGAGAAUCACAGAACACCUCAACAGCUCUCUGUUCAUAACCAAACUCCUUCAGGAUGCCUUUGAGCCACAACGCUUCCUUAACAGCCUCAUUCAACGCCAUAUACUCAGCUUCAGUGGUAGAUAAAGCCACAACAUCUUGUAGAGAUGAUUUCCAGCUGAUAGUAUUUCCUCCAAGCGUGAACACAACACCACUGAUUGAUCUUCUUCCAUCAAUAUCAGCUGCAUAAUCUGAAUCACAGUAGCCUCUGAGAACAAAUUCUGAACCCUUUUUGUAGCAGAGCUUCGUUUCCAUGGUACCACGAAUGUAUCUCAACACCCACUUGACUCCCAACCAGUGUUCUUUGAUGGGAUUCCCCAUGAACCUGCAGAUCAUCCCAACUGGAUAAGCUAGAUCAGGUCGUGUGCCAAUCAUAGAGUACAUAAUGCUUCCGACUGCAUUGGCAUAAGGCACUGACUUCAUGUACUCUUCUUCAUCUCUUAACUGCUCUGGUGUAGCUGCACGCAACUUCAAGUGUGCACCUAAAGGUGUUGACACUUUGUUCGAGUUUUCCAUUUUAUACAGCUCUAACACCUUUUUGAGAUAGCUUUCCUGACCCAUCCACAGCUUCCCUGCAACACGAUCUCUUCUGAUUUCCAUACCAAGAAUCUUCUUGGCUGGUCCAAGGUCUUUCAUAUCAAAUUUAUCACUCAGCUUCUGUUUCAGUUCUGCAAUAACGCUCUUCUCUUUAGCUGCAACCAACAUGUCAUCUACAUAGAUGAGUAGAUACGCCUUUGAUCCGUUCUCGUGUGCUUUGAUGUAAACACAACUAUCUCUGAGACUCUGUGUAAACCCAAUCUCAGACAUAUAUCCAUCAAACUUCUCGUUCCACAUCCUUGGUGCUUGCUUAAGACCAUAUAGAGCCUUGUUCAAGAGACACACUUGAUUAGGCUUGAACUGAUCUUCACAACCCUCAGGAGCUUCCAUGUAGAUCUUUUUAUCUAACUCUCCGUGUAAGAAGGCUGUCUUGACAUCCAACUGUUCAAGCUCCAAGUUCUCUUCAACAACAAUAGACAGUAGUAUCCUUAUAGAUACAUGUCUCACUACAGGGGAGAAUAUCUCAGUAUAAUCAACUCCUUCUCUCUGAGCAUACCCUUUGGCAACAAGCCUUCCCUUAAACCUUGGUGAUUCAACCCCUGGAAUUCCAGAUUUAUGUUUGAAAAUCCAACGGCAACCAAUAACACGUUGUCCUUUUGGUCUCUCGACAACAGUCCAUGUAUGAUUCUUUUUAUGUGAUUCCAUCUCCUCACCCAUUCCAUCUUUCCAGAACUCCCAAUCAUCACUGAGCCUCGCUUCUUGAUAACUUCCAGGUUCUUUUAUAUCUCCGUCAACAGUGGUAAUAAGUGCUUCUGCGUCAAAGUGAUCAUCUUCAUCAUCAGUAUCCUCACUGAAGUACCCCUCCACAUCAAAUCUUCUUGGAGCCCUUACUUCUCUUCUAGCUCUGUCUCUGACGAGAUGAUAACUCACUGGUGACUCAACAGCUUCUUGAUUCUCGUUUUGGACUUGUUCAUCUGAUUGCUCAAGAUGAUCAUGUCCUUCCUCUGCAGCUUCUGUAUCUUCAUUCUGAGCAUUCCCAUCAGGUGUAGAAUCUCCAAGGGAUCCUAUCUCUUCCGAGAGAUCUCCACCUGAACCUGAAUCUCCAGUUCCUUCUGGAUCAAUGUUGAAAAUUAUCUCUGAAGUCUCAUAUUCACUGCCCUGAAUCUGUUUUCCCCGUUGAAUCACAUCCUUGUACACAGCAUUCUCUUGGAACAUCACAUUUCUACUGAUCAUACACUUCUUCUCUUCUAGCAACCAAACCUUGUAACCUUUAACUCCUGGUGGAUACCCAAGCAUUACUCCCUUCUUGGCUCGUGGAGUAAGCUUUCCAUCGUCUGAAUGUGCAAAACAAACACACCCAAAUCUUCUCAAGUAACUGUAACCCGGAGACUUUCCUGACCAUUUCUUGUCUGGAAUCUCAAAGUUAAUUGCAGAAGAUGGUGUUUUGUUUAUCAGUGUUACAGCUGUUUGAGUUGCUUCAGCCCAAAACGUCUGAGGUAGACCAGAGUCACUCAACAUACUUCUUACCUUCUCCAUGAUAGUACGGUUCAUCCUCUCAGCAAUGCCAUUUUGCUGAGGGGUGUAUGCACACGUUCUAUGCCUCACGAUCCCUUUUUCUUUACAGAAAUCAUUGAACCUCGUGUUGCAGAACUCAAGCCCGUUGUCAGUUCUCAAUAUCUUCACCUUUCUCUCUGUCUGGUUCUCAAUCAUGAUACUCCAUUCCACAAACUUACCAUAAGCUUCAUCUUUGUGCUUCAAGAAGUACACCCACGUCUUCCUAGUGUAGUCAUCAAUAAACGAGUGAAAGCCAGAGGUUGGUCAGAUGUAUGCAACAGAGAGAAAGAGCGAUGAUACUGUCUUAUGGCACAGAAGGCUGGGUCACAUGAGUCAGAAGAACCUUGAUCUGCUGGUUAGAAAAGGUCUUCUAGACAGAAAUCAUUGAACCUCGUGUUGCAGAACUCAAGCCCGUUGUCAGUUCUCAAUAUCUUCACCUUUCUCUCUGUCUGGUUCUCAAUCAUGAUACUCCAUUCCACAAACUUACCAUAAGCUUCAUCUUUGUGCUUCAAGAAGUACAUCCACGUCUUCCUAGUGUAGUCAUCAAUAAACGAGAUGAAGUAUUGGCAUUUUCCUAGAGACAAUGGCACACUUGGAGCACCCCAUAAGUCUGAAUGAAUGUAGUCUAACCGAUCUUUAGUGUCAUGUGUAGCUACUGAGAAACUGACUCUCUUUGCCUUACCAUACACACAGUCUUCACACAUCUCCAUUACAGAGACCUUCUUUCUGUCUAGAAGACCUUUUCUAACCAGCAGAUCAAGGUUCUUCUGACUCAUGUGACCCAGCCUUCUGUGCCAUAAGACAGUAUCAUCGCUCUUUCUCUCUGUUGCAUACAUCUGACCAACCUCUGGCUUUCCCUGCAGUAUGUAGAGUUUCUCACACCUCUUUCCACUCAUAAGAGUCUUGGUUCCAUCUUUGACACUGAGAAUCCCGUUCUUUGAUUCAAAACUGCAUCCAAGUUCUUCUAGUGUUCCCAUAGAUAGAAGAUUUCUAUCCAUCUCAGGGAUAUACCUUACACAUGUUAGUAGAAAGGUUGAGCCAUCUUCAUUUUUGAUUCUGACAUUACCAACUCCUUUCACCUUAGACGUAGUCUUGUUUCCCAUACGUACUGAUCCUCCAACAUCUUCUCUUAGAGUCUCGAACCACUCUUUCUUAUGAGUCAUAUGAUAGCUGCAUCCAGUAUCCAUUACCCACUCGUGUUCCAGAUUUAUGUCUAUUAACAACAGUGCUUCUGACACAUAUAAGCCUGCAGCAUCAUUCUUGUUAUCUUUAACCAUGGCAGCUUCUCCUCUGCUGCUACUUCCUUGUUGCUUGGACUUGGUCUGAAAUUUGUUCUUGUUUGAACAAGUAUUCCUGAAGUGUCCUUCUUCUCCGCAAGUCCAGCACACCUUCUUGUUCUUAGACUUUGAUCUUGACUUUGACUGUCUAGAAGAUCUGUCUUUCCCCUCUGACCUUCCUCGUUGAUCACCUCUGUCCCUGACAUACAGACUUUCUGCUUACCCUUUAGACCCACGUGAAUUUGAACCUGUCUCAAGUUCCUUAGCGUAAAUGGCUGCAACAACUUCAUCAAGCGUCAGUGUUGUUCUUCCUGAGCCAUAUCUUAGCGUGUCACGUAGUUGAUCAAACUGUUUAGGUAGAGACAUAAGCAACAAGAUAGCUUGGUCUUCAUCAGAAACCAUAACACCAAUGUUCUCUAGAUCCGUUAUGAGAUGUAGGUACUCAUCAAUGUUGUGUUCAAUAGACAAGCUUUCAGACAUCUUGUACCCAUAGAGCUUCUGCUUCAGGUAGAACCGGUUUCGAAGCGCUUUAGCAAGAUAGAGCUGGUCCAGUGCUCUAAUCAUCCCAGCUGCUGUUUCUUCCUUCCUUAUCUUCCUCAGAACUCUAUCAGUAACGCUCAAGAUGAUAGUGCUUCUAGCUUUCUUCACUUUCUCAGCUAAAGCUUCCGCCUUUUCUAAAGCUUCUUUCUUUUCUUCACUUGUUUCACCCAGAUCUGUGACUUUCUCUGUUGGUUUACCAGAUUCUUCCAACGCUUUGCUCAAACCCUGAAGAUCAAUCUGAGCCAACAGUUUGUCUUUCCACAGUGUGUAGUCCCCAUGACCAUCAAACUUCUCAAGCUCUAUUCUUGACGACGACGACGACAUGGUUCCGUUCUGACCGUUAGAUCUUCAGGAACCUCCACAAGUAACUCCAACCUGUGCUCUGAUACCAAUAUGUGAAGCAACAACCCACUCAAAGACGUCUCCUUUUGUGAUAGUAUGCUCACACACUCAAGAACUCACUGAACACGCUGAUGAACACUCAACACUUAGAAGGGAAAGCAAAGAACAGAACACUUUAGAGCAAGAACAAGACAAGAGAUUGUUAACCCAGUUACACCCGUUAAAUAGGGUGUUAGUCUGGGCCGGGAACUGUCUCCCGGAAUCCACUAGAUCAAAGGUUACAAGAGAGUAUCAGACACCCCACAAGCCCCUUACAAAGCUUCUCUCGGAAUCACUCUCUACCCACUUCCCAAGAACAAAGAUACAAGUUUAUGCUGUGUAUUUUGUUCUAACUUC
rnacentral:lncRNA from 1 species